UGGGGAAUAUUGCACAAUGGGGGAAACCCGUGAUGCAGCGACGCCGCGUGAGUGAAGAAGUAUUUCGGUAUGUAAAGCUCUAUCAGCAGGGAAGAAAAUGACGGUACCUGACUAAGAAGCCCCGGCUAACUACGUGCC
rnacentral:rRNA from 1 species